rnacentral:rRNA from 1 species
GAGUUUGAUCGUGGCUCAGCAGGGAUUGCAGGGCCGGGUCGCCCGACACGGAAAUCUUCAUCUCCGAAUUGGCGCCGCCCGCAGUGGACGUCAGCACCAGCCGAUAAGGCGAACUGCUGCCGUCGUUGACGAUGCUGGCCGAGACGCCAAGGUUGGCGCUAUUGAUGGCGUCGCGGAUACCGGCGAGCGUGUUGUUCGAUGGGUCGAUCGUGAUCGAGCCGCCGGCCUGGUUGCCGUUCUGCGUGAACGUGGCGCCCGUGUAUUUGCCAUUGGCAAAGCUGCCGCCCGAGACAUUCCCAAAAGAAAAGGUGAGGGUGGUGGGCGUGCCGCCGCCAAUGGGCGUCUUGCUGGACGCCUGCCCGGCGGCCGAUACCACCUGCGCCUGCGCAAGCUGCGUCACGUUGAUUUGGUACGAGCCAGCCGCCGCAGU